rnacentral:rRNA from 1 species
GAUGAACGCUGGCGGCGUGCUUAACACAUGCAAGUCGAACGGAAAGGCUCCUGCUUGCCGGGGUUCUCGAUUGGCGAACGGGUGAGUAACACGUGUGUGAUCUGCCCUUCACUUCGUGAUAUGCCUGGGAAACUGGGUCUAAUAUCGGAUAGGACGAUGUUUUGGAUGCCAUUGUGGAAAGUUGUUCGGUGUUGGAUGAGCUCGCGGCCUAUCAGCUUGUUGGUGGGGUAAUGGCCUACCAAGCCGUCGACGGGUAGCCGGCCUGAGAGGGUGUACGGCGACAAUGGGACUGCGAUACGGCCCAGACGCCAACGGGAGGCAGCAGUGGGGAAUAUUGCACAAUGGGCGCAAGCCUGAUGCAGCGACGCCGCGUGGGGGAUGACGGCCUUCGGGUUGUAAACUCCUUUCGCUAGGGACGAAGCGCAAGUGACGGUACCUGGAGAAGAAGCACCGGCUAACUACGUG